rnacentral:ncRNA from 1 species
AAGUUGUUAUAUGACUGACGGAAGUGGAUUAACCACAUGGGAGUAUAACCGUAAGAAGCCGACCGUCUGGGCAAAAGAG